CUUAUACAACUUUCAACAACGGAUCUCUUGGCUCUCGCAUCGAUGAAGAACGCAGCGAAAUGCGAUAACUAAUGUGAACUGCAGAAUUCAGUGAAUCAUCGAGUCUUUGAACGCACCUUGCGCCCUUUGGUAUUCCAAAGGGCAUGCCUGUUUGAGUGUCAUUAA
rnacentral:rRNA from 1 species